GCAGUAUAUGGAUACUCCAUACUCGAUAUGGAUGGACCCUUGAGUCAGCCUAAGUCACUGCAUUUCUAAUGAAUUUAGAAAAGACAUUUAAACACUUCACAGAUUUCUCCUGGGAACCUAUGGGCCAAUAACUGGCUCAGCAGAGGAUGCUGAAAAGACCUUUACCGCAGGAGCGCUGGGAGCAUCAUCUUGCCAGGUUUCUCCAAGAUGACAAGGUCACCAGAUUAAGUGCAGCAGGCUUUUCUGGCAUUUGGCUCCAGGAUUCUGCUGACUUUGCUCUUCAUGCUGAGGAAUCCUUCAGACUUGUUUAAUAGGUUGUCAGCUUUCUGCUUCUCCAGCCAGCCCCACGUGCAUUCCUCAUGCAAAUUGGUGCAACCUCCAACAGAAAUUACAACGUCAAAGCAUUCACAGAGCUCAGUACAAAGCCACCAGUCAGGGGUUCCUCGUGAUUUUGAAACAUCCCAGUUUCUGAAAAGCUAGUUUGAGUUUACACAGUAUUGAGCAAAACAUUAAACAUUCUGCCCUUGGGUCUGUUAUGUCAGAAGCAAACACAGAUGUGAAUACUGUGAUACAUCUCUGCAUUUCUCCUCACAGCUCAUGUUUUGGAUUCCUUAUCUGCAGCAGUAAGCAGUUCUCAAUUAACUCCUCCUGCUGUUUGUGAGAAAAAUGUAUAACAAGCCUGGAUCCCACUGGUCAUACGGGAUUAUUUCAAGAGUUUACAUUACAAUUGCUUCUGAACUGUUUCUCCAGCUCCAGCAGAUCGAGUUCUCCACCGUGCCAGCACUGGCUGCAGCCGUGCAAAUAUUCAAAGCAAACAAGGACAGCAGCUGUUGGACCUCGAGGGUGUCAUUGAACACUGCUGGACAAAGAUGUCGGGAAAAGCAAAUCCCUGGUCUUCCUGAACAAUUCCUUCUUCAGACACACAGCCACAAGGGUUCAAAGGUCCCUGCGGCCUUUGUUCUCAGUUCCAGAGUAGUUACAAACAAACUUUUGUUCCUGUUUCUUCAAUGAAAUAAGCUGCAGCAGUUACCAAUGACUGAACUUUACAUCUGAAGCUUGCUUUGUCCAUCAUGCAACAGGAGGACUACAGAAUCUCAUUUACACUUCCAAAAAUAAGUUAUCAGAACUUUUGCUGAAAUAAAAAUCAACUACUCCUUACUGAUUCA
rnacentral:lncRNA from 1 species